UAUGUAUAUUAAGAAAAAAUAAUUCUGCAUGAAUACAUUUAUCUGAUGCCUUUAUAAAGAGUGAUUACCCCAAGUAUGUAUAUUAAGAAAAAAUAAUUCUGCAUGAAUACAUUUAUCUGAUGCCUUUAUAAAGAGUGAUUACCCCAAUAUGUAUAUUUAAUUAGAAGAAAACAAAGCAAUAGAUUUAAAAAAGUAUAACAUUUUUACCUUACAAUUUAUAAAUAUAUUUGUCCUUGUAAAAGAAUAUAGAAAAACAUUUGUAGCAUUUAAAUGUGUCUUACCACAAAAAAACGUUAAAACCAACUGUAUUUAAAUUUACCUGAUUAACUUUUGGAAUUACAGCAACCUAUUUUUAAGGUUGAUGCCAUAAUAGUUUUUAUAUUAAAACAAAAACCUUCAUGAGAAUUUAAAAUUGCUUUAGAUUGGUAAAACUUUAGAGUUGUAAAAAAUAAAUAAAUGAAUUAGUGAAGUUGUAGUUCCUUAAUAUUGUAUAUAUUUGUAAAUGGGGCUAAAAUUUGCAUUAUUUAGUUGGCCAGCUAGGAGACUGUCUAAAAUAGCAAAAGAAUAAUCUAAUUUGCUUGGUAGGACCAAUUAAAAUUUUAAACAUUUUUCCUAUUUUACCUAUCUAAUUUGCUAAAAUCAUUUAGUUAGCACUUGCCAGUUAGGAGGUUGUCAAAAUCAAGAAAAAAAAAAUUAAUUUCUCCAACAGGGCCAAUUAGAAUUUUUCAUAUUUUACCCUUCUAAUGUACAUUUAUAUUUUUUUUCCUAAAAUCAUAAUUGUGUUUUGUCUCAUAGAAAUACCUUCUUUACAUUAAUCUCUCAAAUGGAACCUCUAGAUUUCUGGGAUCCCUCGUCUAUUUUUUGGACAUUAUGAAAAAUUCCUAUGAUGUCUGAAAUGAAAAGGGGGUUCCUGGAACAAGUGAAUGACAAGAACAAUCCAAACGAAGUGUGACAAAUAUUAACAUUUCAAUUGAAAAUACCUUUUGGACAGAAUUAAAAUAGGAGAAUAAAGUGGAAGACAAUGGCCAUAGCUACCAGCGAAGGAGAGUGUUUCCAAUGCCCUUUGUGUUUGAAGGUGUUUAAAACAACCAGUCAUUUAAGAAACCACUACUACUUCAUGCACAGAAAUGUAUCUUACAUUUGUGCUAUGUGUGCAAAGACAUUCAAACGGAAGGAACACCUACAAAAACAUGAACUCAGAUGCUGGAGCUCUCUUGCACGCUCUGCUGUUUGACUAGCUGUUGAUAUUUCACAAACGUACUUGAAGAUUUGUUAUAUUGUUAAUAUAUUAUUUUCGCUUGGGAUCAUUUGUACAAGUUUAUAAAACUACAAUCCAUUUGAGAAUGGAACAAAAAAUAGUAAUAUUUACAGUACUUUAUGAGCAAAUUUUUAUCACAUAAUUAAAUUGGUUCUUAGUAAAAGUGUCAUACACAACUAGUUAAUAAAUGAAAGACUAGCCCAAACUAUGCUCAGUCAUUACAGGUAGUGUGAUUUAAAUUAUUUCACAGUUUCUGUUGUGAAAAAUUGAUAGAUACAAGGGAUUUGUAUGCAUUGUUCAUGAGGUUGAGUCACAUAUGUGUUGUAGCUGAGUUUAAUAUUUUUCUUUUUUGAAUAUACAGUAACCAUAUGAGCAGGGUAAAAAAAAAGUGUCAAAAGUUCUGCAAUAGAAAAUGAAUUGAAAUAUCACAGAAAGAGUAUCAGGUAACCAUAGAUGUCAAAAUUUCAUUGUAUAUUUCCCUGUACUGGCAUUUUGUGCAUCAAUUAGCUUCUGUUAAAAGAUUUUUUCCACAUUGUUGAGUAAUAUAAUAAAUGUAAAUUCUUGUUUUAAAAAAUGGCACAAAUUUAGAUAUUACACAGUGUGUAUGUACUGAUCCAAGUGUAUCUUACUUGUUUGUACUUGGUUAGCUGUAUAACAAUGGUAUUUACUAUAGUGGAGUUUAUUUUUUCAGUAAUAAAGUUUUUAUAGAGCUUG